rnacentral:rRNA from 1 species
UACGAAGGAUGCAAGCGUUAUCCGGAUUUAUUGGGUUUAAAGGGAGCGUAGGCGGUCUUAUAAGUCAGUGGUGAAAUCUCGUUGCUUAACAACGAACGUGCCAUUGAUACUGUAGGACUUGAGUACAGUUGCCGUUGGCGGAAUGUGUCAUGUAGCGGUGAAAUGCAUAGAUAUGACACAGAACACCGAUUGCGAAGGCAGCUGACGAAACUGUAACUGACGCUGAGGCUCGAAAGCGUGGGGAGCGAACCGG